UGCAUAAAACGACAGAACCAUGUCACGUGGCGGUGGUAAUUAAAAAAGGGGGAGAGAUUCGGGGAUAUAGCGACGGUCAGAGUCGGAUCGAGUGUUCGCGGGCACCUGGGGCUUCGAUUUCACCUAAACAUCUCUCUUAUAUGUAGCUCAACUGAUCAACUUUUGCCUGAAACAUUUUUUAUCUACACUAUUGAAAAUACCUGCAAAAUAGUGGCAUAACUUAAGGAGCAAACCUUGUAUAUUUAUACAACUCUUUAAUAAUAUCUCCUUGGAUUUUCAGGCUCGUGUCAGUUCACUUAAAUAUAGGCUUGGAUUUUAUCUGGCCACUAAAACUAGAACAUGUUUGGGACGUCUUUUAGAAAUCUGCUAGAAGCUGAAGCCCCUGAGCCACGGCAACCGAAGUUCACGCCUGCAUCCGACCCUGGUGGUAGUACGCACACUCCUGAUCGCGCCAGGCUAAUUAGUCACAUGGGUUCUAAAUAGUCGCGCGAAUAAUCAAGAUUGGCAGAAGCACGAGUAUUCCGCGGAACAGUUUCAAGCAAGAUGCGCAAUCUCGGUGUUUAAUCAUGUGCAAAGCGACACUCUGUGCGAUAAUACACUGCGAGAGGAAAAUUUUCAUCUUGGAUACUCACCGAAAAUGGUAGGGGCGACGAAGCGUGAUUGCUUAGGGGUGGAGACAACGGUGCGUUCACCAGGGCAGCGGAAAUGGUGCUAGCCGGAGCCUUUCCGCCUCUGCGAAGUUUUUAAUCGCCAUUUUACUCAGCUCGGGAGAGAAACCGGUAGCUCCCUAAACGAUAAACAGGUGGAAUGCUUACGGUGGCACGGUGAUUGGAACAAGGCCCGAAGGUG